rnacentral:rRNA from 1 species
UACGUAGGGGGGCAAGCGUUGUCCGGAAUUAUUGGGCGUAAAGCGCGUGUAGGCGGCCAGAUAAGUCCGCUGUGAAAUCUCGAGGCUCAACUUCGAGCUGUCGGUGGAAACUGUCUGGCUAGAGUCCGGAAGAGGAGAAUGGAAUUCCUGGUGUAGCGGUGAAAUGCGCAGAUAUCAGGAAGAACACCCGUGGCGAAGGCGGUUCUCUGGGACGGUACUGACGCUGAGACGCGAAAGCGUGGGGAGCGAACAGG